AGCUUUGCGCAGUGGCAGUAUCGUAGCCAAUGAGGUUUAUCCGAGGCGCGAUUAUUGCUAUUUUCCAUACAACUAACAGUUCAGUGUUCAUAGUGAAUUCAUAAAACAUAGCUUACAU
rnacentral:snRNA from 1 species